rnacentral:rRNA from 1 species
CCUACGGGUUGCAGCAGUGGGGAAUAUUGCACAAUGGGCGCAAGCCUGAUGCAGCCAUGCCGCGUGUAUGAAGAAGGCCUUCGGGUUGUAAAGUACUUUCAGCGAGGAGGAAGGCAUUAAGGUUAAUAACCUUGGUGAUUGACGUUACUCGCAGAAGAAGCACCGGCUAACUCCGUGCCAGCAGCCGCGGUAAUACGGAGGGUGCAAGCGUUAAUCGGAAUUACUGGGCGUAAAGCGCACGCAGGCGGUCUGUCAAGUCGGAUGUGAAAUCCCCGGGCUCAACCUGGGAACUGCAUUCGAAACUGGCAGGCUAGAGUCUUGUAGAGGGGGGUAGAAUUCCAGGUGUAGCGGUGAAAUGCGUAGAGAUCUGGAGGAAUACCGGUGGCGAAGGCGGCCCCCUGGACAAAGACUGACGCUCAGGUGCGAAAGCGUGGGGAGCAAACAGGAUUAGAUACCCGUGUAGUC